rnacentral:rRNA from 1 species
GACGAACGCUGGCGGCGUGCUUAACACCUGCAAGUCGAACGGAAAGGCCCUGCUUUUGUGGGGUGCUCGAGUGGCGAACGGGUGAGUAACACGUGAGUAACCUGCCCUUGACUUUGGGAUAACUUCAGGAAACUGGGGCUAAUACCGGAUAGGAGCUCCUGCUGCAUGGUGGGGGUUGGAAAGUUUCGGCGGUUGGGGAUGGACUCGCGGCUUAUCAGCUUGUUGGUGGGGUAGUGGCUUACCAAGGCUUUGACGGGUAGCCGGCCUGAGAGGGUGACCGGCCACAUUGGGACUGAGAUACGGCCCAGACUCCUACGGGAGGCAGCAGUGGGGAAUAUUGCACAAUGGGCGGAAGCCUGAUGCAGCAACGCCGCGUGCGGGAUGACGGCCUUCGGGUUGUAAACCGCUUUCGCCUGUGACGAGGCGUGAGUGACGGUAAUGGGUAAAGAAGCACCGGCUAACUACGUGCCAGCAGCCGCGGUGAUACGUAGGGUGCGAGCGUUGUCCGGAUUUAUUGGGCGUAAAGGGCUCGUAGGUGGUUGAUCGCGUCGGAAGUGUAAUCUUGGGGCUUAACCCUGGGCGUGCUUUCGAUACGGGUUGACUUGAGGAAGGUAGGGGAGAAUGGAAUUCCUGGUGGGGCGGUGGAAUGCGCAGAUAUCAGGAGGAACACCAGUGGCGAAGGCGGUUCUCUGGGCCUUUUCUGACGCUGAGGAGCGAAAGCGUGGGGAGCGAACAGGCUUAGAUACCCUGGUAGUCCACGCUGUAAACGGUGGGUACUAGGUGUGGGGUCCAUUCCACGGGUUCCGUGCCGUAGCUAACGCUUUAAGUACCCCGCCUGGGGAGUACGGCCGCAAGGCUAAAACUCAAAGGAAUUGAUGGGGCCCCGCACAAGCGGCGGAGCAUGCGGAUUAAUUCGAUGCAACGCGUAGAACCUUACCUGGGUUUGACAUGGAUCGGGAGUGCUCAGAGAUGGGUGUGCCUCUUUUGGGGUCGGUUCACAGGUGGUGCAUGGCUGUCGUCAGCUCGUGUCGUGAGAUGUUGGGUUAAGUCCCGCAACGAGCGCAACCCUUGUUCACUGUUGCCAGCACGUUAUGGUGGGGACUCAGUGGAGACCGCCGGGGUCAACUCGGAGGAAGGUGGGGAUGACGUCAAGUCAUCAUGCCCCUUAUGUCCAGGGCUUCACGCAUGCUACAAUGGCUGGUACAGAGAGUGGCGAGCCUGUGAGGGUGAGCGAAUCUCGGAAAGCCGGUCUCAGUUCGGAUUGGGGUCUGCAACUCGACCUCAUGAAGUCGGAGUCGCUAGUAAUCGCAGAUCAGCAACGCUGCGGUAAAUACGUUCCCGGGGCU